rnacentral:lncRNA from 1 species
GAUGACCCACCUGCCUCAGCCUCCCAAAGUGCUGGCAUGAGCCACCUCACCCGGCCUAAGAAGGGAUUUAUUAUAGGGUACUAGGUGGCUUACAGAAUCAUGUGAGGGCUGAAGAAAUGAACUUGAGGUUGAGCUUUCCACAGAAAUUCCCAAAGGCCCACCACAGAACUAAACCACCAAGAGAGCUGCUGCUGCUACGCCUAGGUGGAUGCAGAAUUGCAUUGAUACGACCCUAAUCCUGAAGCCACCGCUUUCAGGGUGCCUUCCCUCCUACUGCUAAUUCUAGAACCCUACUGCACCUGCUGCUAUCUGGACCACAAAAUGUGUGCCUUUUACCCUGCCUCUCAGGAACCACAGAAUAGUGACCAUAUUCUGCAUCCUCUGCUAAUGAUGCCACAGAAGUCCAAGAGCAUCCAUCAGAAAUAGCUGUGGCAGUAGAGGUGUGACCACUGCCAUCGUCCACAUCUCACACUCGGGCAUCUAAUGGCUAAAUCCAAAUCACAUCUGGAAUCCUUUCUCAAGGGAUUCCUGGAAUCAUAGCAUUCAGCUUCCCAAUGAUGGAGGUACAGAAAGGCAUGCUGGAAGAGUGUUUUCCAAAAGUUCUGACAUAUUCUACUGUAGAAUCAUUUUCCUCACACAUACAUACAGUCACAUACGCAUCUACCUGAAAUAAAAGAUUCACAAGACAGUUGAGGCACCCUGAUGGUUUCAAUUCUAGUCUAUGCUGAGCAGUGCUAUGCUAUUCCAUGCUAUUUCAUUCCAUUAAGAAAUGCUGGUCUUGACCCACUAAGUUGGUUUCGUGAUGGACUAAUGGACGAUAACUGGCAGUUUGGAAAAACACUUCACAACAAGAAGGGAGAAAUGGAUGUUGAGUGCCAAUCCACAAUAUCUACGAUACUAUUUUAUACUAUUCCUUCCCCUGUCCUGAAUUGACAGAAAGAAUUCAAGGCUGCUCACAGAAGGGACUCAGUGAUAUGAUAAACUGCAUAGUGAACUGAGGAUCAAAAGUAGCUUCUAGUCCAUGGACCAGCAGUUUAUUUGUUUGUAAAUGAGAGCGUUGUGAUAGUUCUGUGUUGUAAUGACCGGAUUGACACCUACCUAGUAGGAAAACUGAGGGAAAUGUUGACCAGUCUAUACCUUGUACCUUUUACUAGAGGAUGGAUUAAGCCCACGAGGGAGUUUUGAUGGCAAAUGCACUAUGGUGUGCCUUUAGAAGCAACUGUUGUACUCCUGAAAAAUAUUAGUUGGCUUUAGUCCAGUUCCUGGUUUUGCAUGUAGGUGUAAAACUAAUGAUUCAUUCUGAGAGCAUGGGGGUAUAUAUUGAAUGUGAGAAGCAUGACUCAUUCACCUGCCCCAUGUUUGAAAAGCAAUUGUUAAUUACACUGUUAACAUUUGUUAAGACUUUAAUUUCUUCAUGUAGAGCUUUUAGGUAAAAGCUUAUAUUUACCAAUAACUGGGGCUUUCAAUGAGAACUUUUUUCCUGAUGCAGUGCUGGUUGGAAGGUAAUUGGUUUCAAAAAAGAAAAGCCCAUUGAGAAGGCAGAACAAAGAAACGUUUAACACAUGUUUCAUCUGUGCCAAAUAGUACACCAAGCAUUUCCAUGCACAAUCACUCGUGUAGUCCUUACAAUAGCUCUUAAUGAAGAAAUUAUGAUUUUCCUUUUUGUAGAUGAGGGAGAAAGGCUUAAAGAGAUUAAAAGGGAUUCACCCAAGGUCAUUAAACUAGAAAGUGAAAGCAUGGAAUUCACAUUCAAUUUUGGAUGACUCACACCUCCUACUUUUCCUACUGUUCCAGGAUGUCUCUGUUGCUUUCAUUAUUUGUUCAAGGUGAAUAUAAGUCAAAACAAAACCCCUCAACACAAACUUUAUUAGCAAGACGGUAAUUUUUAUCUUUUGGAAAAAAGAGACCUUCUAAUGGGUCCUUCAGCUGCCCAUUUCAUCUCUUCCUUAGCCAUAUUUUCCUCUUUUUAGGACCCUGAUAUCUAAAAGCAACAGAGAAUUGAACAGAUGAUUUGUGGGCAUUAUUUUGGUUUCAUAUCUUUUAUGGUUUUCUUUUGGUUGUGAUUGCAUUUAAGGAAACCGGAAGAAUUUGUGUUAAGGAAAGAAUAUGUUUCCCCAAAGUUCAUAUGUUGAAGUCCUAACCUAGAUGUGAUGGUAUUUGAAGGUGGGGCCUUUUGAAGGUAAUUAGGUUUAGAGGAAGUCGUUAGGAAGAGCCCACAUGAUGAAAUUAGUGCCCUUAUAGGAAGAGGAAGAGACUGGAGAGCUUGCGCUCUCUCUACUGUAAGGAGACAGCAAGAAGGCAUCUAUGUCUCUGCACGCCAGGAAGAGAGAGCACCAGAACCCAACCACGCUGGCACCUUGAUUUUGGACUUCUAGUCUCCAGCACUGGGCCCAUUGUCAGGCCUGAAGCUGGGUAUCUGACCAGGUUGUGCCCUGUCCUACACGGGAGUGGGAACUGCUCUGUACCUAGGCGUCUGCCACUGACUCAGAAGUCCAGACUGUUGGAUGGUCUUCAGUGAGUCAUACCUUCCAGUAUUGAUGUCCUUUUGCAAUCCUUCCCCAACCCACACUGACUCUGGGCUUGGCCAACUGACUGGCUUUGGGCAAUGGGACAUUGGCAAGUGUGCUGCAGGCAGAGGCUUGGUAAGCCCUUGCACACUGGGGCUUGCCCUGUGGAAUGCAGAUGCCAUGCAAGAAGAGAAGACUGGGCUAGUCUUGAAGAGAGAUCCUAAGACCACAUGCAGUAAGAGGCUGGUCAUCCCAGCAUCCCACUGGAGCCCACCCCUGAGCCAAUUUUUCAGCUGAAUGCAACCACAUAAGGGACUCCAGUUAUGAACAGAACUGCCCAGUCGACCCACAGGAUCAUGACAAACAAUGCAUUAUUGUUGUUUUAAGCCACUGACUUUUUGGGGUGGUUUGCUGCGUAGCAGUAGAUGGCUGAAACACCCUCCAUAAAAUAGUGUGAGACAUAACCUUAUACCAAAAUAAAAAUUUAGCACGGAUGCUAUCAUACCAAUGGCAAAUGAACAGUUGUGGGAAAACAGUAGAGCUUUCAAUGAGCUCAAAGUAGCAUAUCUGCAUCAGGGGCCCAUGCCUUGUUGCCAGGAAGUCCAUCAGAAGAAACCUAGGGAGUUUUCAGGAGUCCUGGCUGCUGGGAAAGCCAGCACUGCAGCUGUUGGCCUGUGGAAAUGUGAAAAAAAGAAAGAAAGGAAGAAAAAAAAAACCCACAGGCACUCCAACCGCUUCACCACAAUAAUUGCAACUCUUAUUUCUAUUUGCCAGCAAAACUAGUGUUUACAAGAGAAAAACAAGACGAAUUAUAUUUUUAGCAAUAAAUGUUUUAUUUGGAAAAUGUCAGUGCCAGUUGCACCCUAAUGGUGUUUUUUUCCAAAACAUGUGGUUAGUAAGAAGAGUGGAGUAGGGAUUCAGGUUAUUUUAAGAGAGCUCUGAGAGCUUGACUAGACAGUAUUGAACCGGACUGUAUUAGAAGGGAUAUGGGCCUGUUUGCACUGUAGCUGCAGAAUAUAUCUGACAUGAAGCAUCUCCUUGCUUUGUGGGAUGGCUUUGGUACAUGCACCAGCACUGCUGUGUCCCACCGACUCAGCUUCCCUUUCCUGAAUUGCUUUUUGUUCAUUGCAUUAGAUGAAAUGAAUUGAGUGGUUUGGACAUUGGAGAAGAUUAUAGAUCUUCAAGGAAAAAUACAUUCAGUACAUGAUUAGAGGCUAGAAUAGAUAAGAAAUCAAUUUGGAAUGAGCAGUUUUUAAAAAAUAAACUUUAUAUUUUGGAGCGGUUUUUGGUUCAGAGCAAAACCAAGUGAAAUGUACAGAGAUCUCCCUCAUACUCCCUCCCUCCACAUAUGCGCAGCCUCUCCUGUCAAAAUCCUGCACCAGAGUGGCACAUUUGUGACAACUGAUGGACCUACAGUGACACACCAAAGUGCAUAGUUUACAUUAGGGUUCACUUUUAAUGUUGGAAAUUCUGUGAGUUUUGGCAAAUGUAUCAUAACAUGUAUCCACCAUUAUAGUAUCAUACAGAGUAGUGUCACUGCCCUAAAAAUUCUUUGUGUGCUGCCUCAUCAUCCCUCUCCCCCUCCUACCCCUGACAACCAGUGAUCCUUUUACUCUCCACAGUUUUGCCUUUUAAAGAAUGUCAUGUAGUUGGAAUCACACAGUAUGUGGCGUUUUCAGAUUGGCUUCUUUCCCUUAGCAAUAUGCAAUUAAGUUUCCUCCGUAUCUUUUCACGGUUUGGCUGCUCAUUUCUUUUUAAGGCUGAAUCAUAUUCGAUUGUCUGGAUGCACCACCAUUUAUUUAUCCUUUUGCCCAUGGUAGGACAUUUUAGGUGCUUCCAAAAUGAGGCAAUUAUGAAUAAAACUGCUUUAAACAUUUUCGUGCUUUUUGUGUGGACAUAGUUUUCAACUCGUGGGUAAAUUCAGAAGCAUGACUACUGGAUCGUA